CACCAGGUGGCGACACUGAACAAAGUCCUGAAUAUUUCCACGGUGACCAGUGUUCAGAAACAGACUAUUCCAGCUCUUCUGUCAGGACGAGACGCUGUGGUCAGAUCUCAGACGGGUUCAGGAAAGACUCUGUCCUACGCCGUCCCCGUGGUCCAGAGUCUGCAGGCGCUGCAGCCGAAAGUCAGCAGGUCAGACGGUCCACUCGCCGUCGUCAUCGUCCCCACGAGAGAGGUUCAGUCUGAACACACACCUGUCCUCACCUGUCUGUCUCUAUCCUGUCCUCACCUGUCUGUCU